GUGAAUCAUCGAAUUUUUGAACGCAAAUUGCACUCUCUUCGGAGAGUAUGCCCGUUUGAGGGUCAGCCUAAAAAAAAAAUCGACAUAGUCGCUGUUUCUCGUUGACUUUCUUCUCUAAUUGGGUCAUCUUAACCCUUUGGGUUUUAAGCGGCUUAAAAUUUUCUUUAUGAUUCCACGAUCGUUUCUAAGAUUUACUUUUUAUACGUUUAACCUCCCGAUCUUUAUUAUACGUUCCCGUUUCUCCC
rnacentral:misc_RNA from 1 species